rnacentral:rRNA from 1 species
UACGGGAGGCAGCAGUGGGGAAUAUUGCACAAUGGGCGCAAGCCUGAUGCAGCCAUGCCGCGUGUAUGAAGAAGGCCCUUCGGGUUGUAAAGUACUUUCAGUCGUGAGGAAGGUGUUAAGGUUAAUAACCUUAGCAAUUGACGUUAGCGACAGAAGAAGCACCGGCUAACUCCGUGCCAGCAGCCGCGGUAAUACGGAGGGUGCGAGCGUUAAUCGGAAUUACUGGGCGUAAAGGGCACGCAGGCGGUUAAUUAAGUUGGAUGUGAAAUCCCCGGGCUUAACCUGGGAAUGGCAUUCAAGACUGGUUAGCUAGAGUCUUGUAGAGGGGGUAGAAUUCCGAUGUGUAGCGGUGAAAUGCGUAGAGAUGUGGAGGAAUACCGGUGGCGAAGGCGGCCCCUGGACAAAGACUGACGCUCAUGUGCGAAAGCGUGGGGAGCAAACAGGGAUUAGAUACC